UCCUGUCAACCCUUUUAGCAAGUGUCAAAAACUCAAAGAAAAAGACGAUGACUUUGAAGUCUACAAGUCAUAUUUCUGUGAACGAGUGAACUGGCAACAUGUCGAGCCUGUAAGUAACUAGGUUUUUCCUAUAGAAAUUAUAGCAAGUCACAGUAAAAUCUUGAACACAGAACAACAACAACAACAGCAGCUGGAUCAAUUGGUUCCUCGGAAUCAAGGGCAACGAGUUCCUCUGCCACGUGCCCACCAACUACUUUCAGGACACGUUCAACCAGAUGGGCCUGGAGUACUUCAGCCAGCACUGGACGUGAUCCUGAAGCCGGCGUUCGACAGUUCCUCGGGCUUGUUCUACGACGAUGAGAAAAAGUGGUACGGCAUGAUUCACGCCCGAUACAUCAGGUCGGAGCGUGGCGUGAAUGAUAUGCACCGAAACUAUAUGAGAGGAGACUUUGAAUCGUGUCCGAAUAUCUCCUGUAAUAGGAAGAACACCCUGCCAGUGGGCCUCAGCGAUGUGUGGGGCAAGUCAACGGUGAAGAUCUACUGCCCACGCUGUAAAAACUACUUCCAUCCUAAAACUGAUACACAGCCAUGUUCGAGCCCAGCUUCCCGGACAUCUUCUUAACGCAGCUGCCGAACUUGAGACCGCCCCUGGACGACCCACGGUAAGUAAUUCUCCGAAUAUAGUCCUGGUUGUUUUCUAAACAAAGCGCUUGAACUUGCAGUCCCUAUGCUUUCUGUUGCACCAGAAGGCCUUGAUGCCACUUAAAUCGCCCAAGUCCUCACCAAAGAAAAUCGGAUCCUCGGCCAGCUAGUCCUCCUCCUCGCCCCGGCAUUCCGAAGUCAAGCGCUUCAAUGUUCUUCUAGGGAUGACGUGAUUUUUUAACUCCACACAAAAGAAAGCAGAAAUGUUUGUCCGAUAUAUUGUUGUUGCAAUUAAACAGAUUCCGAAGUGCGUUGAUAUGGCCAGCUACCACCUACUAAUAUACCUCAUACACCUCUCCUCUAAAUACUUGGUUCAAAGUGUUCGGUCCAAGCUGGUCAUAUCAAGCACUCAUGCGAGUAGCAAAGCAUACUUUUCGUUAAUAGUGGUAAUCACCUGGGUAUAAUAAUAAUAUUAAUCAAUAAAACAUUCAAUUCAGUUUUUUAUUUAAUUUUAUGUUAAAAGAGUUUCCAAAAGUGUUUUCCUGACUACAUCAAAUACUUUUUGAUAAUUUAAUUUCUUUAAAUUCUUUAAAUAUACAAAUUCUGUUUUAAUGUAUUAUAGGAGUGAGUAGAAGGUUAAAUCAUUAUUUUCAAUUUCAAAUAAAAUUAAAAUUUUGAUUCCAUCAUUUUUAUGUAAUUCUUUUUGUAGAGUAUUCAAUACUGGCAACUUCGUAUUUUAGUUUGAUUUCCCAUGCUGUUUUUGGUUAAUUUCCAACAUACCAGAUUGAUUUCGCGCGUAAAUUUAAACGCACUUUAUUGCCUUUUUGGAAGAACGUUGCUUCAAAACGGAAAAUCGAAGGAAACCCUGACCGGACCUAAGGGACAGCCUUGGGGGGAAAACUGGCAGUGCAUUUUCCCAGCCCCAAAGAUUUUCCCCGGCAAGUCGGGGAACUUAUUAUGAAAUAAAAGAACUAAUACUUAUUAUGCCAGCCGAACAUAAAACGAAUUUUUGAGUCUAGAGUUCCCAUCUGCAAGGGCAUGACAGAGUCCUGG
ensembl:ncRNA Su(Ste):CR42429 Su(Ste):CR42429